rnacentral:rRNA from 1 species
UACGUAGGGGGCAAGCGUUGUCCGGAUUUAUUGGGCGUAAAGAGCGUGUAGGCGGCUAGAUAGGUCCGUUGUGAAAACUCGAGGCUCAACCUCGAGACGUCGAUGGAAACCAUCUGGCUAGAGUCCGGAAGAGGAGAGUGGAAUUCCUGGUGUAGUGGUGAAAUGCGUAGAGAUCGGGAGGAACAUCAGUGGCGAAGGCGACACGCUGGGCCGUACCUGACACUGAUGCGCGACAGCAUGGGGAGCAAACAGG